AAAAAGGCUGUGAUCGGAACAAGUAGUAAUAAGUCGGAACAAACAGAAAGCAACCGGUUGAUGAGAGGUGCAUGGAAAGCUUAUUAUGAAUACAUCCGGGAGCUUUGCACCGAAAUACGGUAGGCUGCAACGGUUGACACUCGUUAUUGUGUUAUAGUAUUCGAUACUUAGAAAGACAGUUUAUGUGAAUAAACUGUAAAUUAAGGUGGUAACACGGGUUAACAUACUCGUCCUUAUC
rnacentral:ncRNA from 1 species